AUUGAACGCUGGCGGCAUGCUUUACACAUGCAAGUCGAACGGUAACAGGGAAAAGCUUGCUUUUCUGCUGACGAGUGGCGAACGGGUGAGUAAUACAUCGGAACGUACCUUGUAGUGGGGGAUAACUACUCGAAAGAGUAGCUAAUACCGCAUACAACCUGAGGGCAAAAGUGGGGGACCGCAAGGCCUCACGCUAUAAGAGCGGCCGAUGGAAGAUUAGCUAGUUGGUAGGGUAAAGGCCUACCAAGGCGACGAUCUUUAGCGGGUCUGAGAGGACGAUCCGCCACACUGGGACUGAGAAACGGCCCAGACUCCUACGGGAGGCAGCAGUGGGGAAUUUUGGACAAUGGGCGCAAGCCUGAUCCAGCAGUGCCGCGUGAGUGAAGAAGGCCUUCGGGUUGUAAAGCUCUCUUGUUUGGGAAGAAAUCCCUAAGGAUAAUACCCUUUGGGGCUGACGGUACCAAAAGAAUAAGCACCGGCUAACUACGUGCCAGCAGCCGCCGUAAAAC
rnacentral:rRNA from 1 species